rnacentral:misc_RNA from 1 species
GAUGAAGAACGUAGCGAAAUGCGAUACUUGGUGUGAAUUGCAGAAUCCCGUGAACCAUCGAGUCUUUGAACGCAAGUUGCGCCCGAAGCCAUUAGGCCGAGGGCACGCCUGUCUGGGCGUCACACGUCGUUGCCCCCCCAUCUACUCCUUCGGGAUUGCGGGGGGCGGAUGAUGGCCUCCCGUGCGCCUCGCCGCGCGGUUGGCAUAAAUGCCAAGUCCUCGGCGACGCACGCCACGACAAUCGGUGGUUGCGAAACCUCGGUUGCCCGUCGUGUGCGGUCGUCGCGCAUCGAGGGCUCGAAAAAAUUGCCGGGUUCCGGCUCGGCUUUCAACGCGACCCCAGGUCAGGCGGGGUUACCCGCUGAAUUUAAGCAUAUCAAUAAGCGGAGGA